rnacentral:tRNA from 6 species
GGAGAGAUGUCCGAGAGGCCGAAGGAGCACGACUGGAAAUCGUGUGUACGCUAAACCCGUACCGUGGGUUCAAAUCCCACUCUCUCCGUCA